GGCUAGUUGAAUCGGGUGUGUGAAUGUUGUUUCCCUUUGAACCGCGUUGCGCGUCAGUAGAUGCGCGUUGCUUUGCGCAAACUGGAAUAUCAUCUUCGCCACCAUAGUAGGCCAAAUUAUCUAUUUAGAAUAAACUUAGCUUUCAUUCUCAACGGUUGAAUCCAUUACAGUGGUCAGGUAAGGGCCACUAAUUGGAUUAUUUUCACUGUACGUAUGUAAGAUACUUUGCAUCCAAUUAGGCUUAGAGAUCUCAGAAGCGUAGACCUAAACUAAUUUCCCCUUUUUUUCUCUCUAUGGUUGUAUCUUUAUAGUGGUCAGGUAAGGACUACUAAUAUACGUUUCCUUCUCUUUAUUAUUAGACCACAGCACCGGUCACAAAUUUGAUCAGGAAUCCACUGUACAUUGUAGUUACAAAACCUAGCUCCGCUAGGAAGACUUCUUUUAUUUUCAGCAACUUGCAAUUAGAUUAGGAGGACCGGCAAGCCACAGUGCUCAUGUCAGGAGCUGCUGACACGGAGGAACCGGAAGCAGGGAGGAGGAACACCGGAUGACUGAAGACCCUGCUUGCCGGGCAUCCCAUUACUGAUUUCCCAGAGAUGACGGUCUGCAAGAUGAGAUGUCAUUCUGGACGAAGAUACAAUCACUUCUGAAUCCCAAGGAACCGGAAGCAGGGAGGAGGACCGACGGAAGGACUGAUGACCUGCUUGCAGAGCAAGUCUUCACCAAUUCUUGAGAUUGCUCUUGUUUCGUGUAAGCAGCAGAGACGAUGACAAUAUACAUAACGGAGUGCAGUUGUUCACCAAGGCAGGAACACGAAUUUUAGCAACACUCGACUGAGUUUUACAAUAGCUAGCUCCUGAAAGUUCCCAUAAGUUUCUCUUAAAAAGUCGUCACAUUUGAUUAAUCCGAGGGAUGUAUAAAGACACCAUCCCAUUCAAAAUCCUUCCAAAAACCUGCUGGAUAAAUUUAAAAAGCUGUAUAUGUCAACUUACUACUCUGUAUUACUACUCUGUAUUUCUUUUUUUUUCCGAUCAGCAAUA